rnacentral:lncRNA from 1 species
CUCCACACUUAAUAGCACUGUUGUUGCUGAAAGCGAAAUUCACCCAUCCUCCCUGCAGUCAGACAUUUUUACCUGCAAAUUGGAAAAUACAUCAUUAUUACCUUGCCACUCUAGACCUUCUCGGGUGAACAUGUGCUGACUCGGGGUGCUUCUUGAACUUGCUAAACCUGCUGUCCAUUGUGGAUCGUCCAUCGUAUCGGCCGGGCCGAGGCACAGCCUGAGCCGCGCUGCUCGAGUGCGGUGUUGGCGGGUAUUCGUCUACACGGGCUCCCGACGGGCGUUCAGCCCGGUCCCGUUAACCCCCCCCCAAAGUACCUACUGGUUCCCAUCUCUAUAAGUAGCCCAACUGCGACUCAUGUUUUCCUGUGAUCUGAAAAACACUGCGUUCGGGAAAGACUAUUUUAUUUUCUUCCCUCAUCCUAAAGAGGAGAAAAACAGCGAACAAGUUACAGACAGGCACACUUCCGGCAGUGAGAGAGGCCAAGAGGCAGAAUUCUGGUUUCCCUUCCUUCCGCAAUCAUACUCGGAGACCCCCAACUUCCUGACCGCUCCCCCAUAAACGAAUGCGAUGAAUGGUAAUUGAUUUCUAACCCCUUUCUUGAUGACCUAUCAAUGUCCCCCCAAAUAUUAUUUGUCCUAUAAUUUCCUUAAUUCUGAUAACUCUGACAUGGAUACUUGUUGUGAAAGGCGCUAUAUAAAAAUAAAUUGAAUUGAAUGAAAAUGUUCUAAAGGGGGAUUUAUUUGCUUUUGCUACAAUGGCAUUCCUCAAACCUGGGGGAGUUAAUACCAGAAAAUUCCAGAGGAUGGAAAAAGAGGCGUCUGUUCUCAUUUAUUUUGCGACUGUGAGUUGGGGCUCUUGGUUAAAGACAUAAGCAGAGGAGUUAUGGUGUUGGUGGUGGACAGUAGUAUGCACAAUGAGUUUCAGUAAAAUGAAUUCAGUGGCUCUGGUUUCAGUCUAAAAAGCAGUUCUCAAAUCCUACUCCUAAACCAAACCAGCAGGUUUUACAUGUAAGCAUUAAAUCGCAGGUUUCUAAAGACUCAGAGUAGUUUAACUGUAAUUCAUUGGGAGGCGAUGUGCAAAAUUAAGUAACGUAGAAAGCAUUUGGCACAGAAAUGAUCAGCCCUCAAGGUGCCGAGUUCCCUUAAUUGAGCACAUUACUUUCUUAAUUAUUGCUUAAUUGGACAUUGCUUAUUGCUUAAUUGGCCAAUAACUUACAAGUGUUUGUAAUCUUUAGAAACAGGUGAUUUAGUGUGACCUAUAAGACUUACUGGAAUGGGGCUCACCAGGACCAGGGUUGAAGUCACUUGAUCUAAUCACAGAAUGGUAGAUUAAGUUGAAAAUCAUAAGGUGUUUACACCUAUUGAUGACAAAAAAGAGCAAUAAAAUAAGAGCCUGGCAUAUGAGAUCUCAUCGUCACUGGUUAUUUGGUUCAUCUUAACACC